GGGGUCAGCGGGCAGAUGGCGGUGGUGUGGUGGGACGGCUGAGGCCCGCAGCUCCGCCUCCCGCUUCAGUCGUGCCCGAGACACCAAGUCGUUGGGAUCUGCUCCCGCGUCAGGACGCGCCCACCCUCUCCCACUGAAUGGUUCUCGGCACUUUAAGACUCCUUGUCUUUGUGGUGUCUGAUAAGAAGCGGCUCGUCAUUAACUCCGACUAAUUAUACAGUUCGUCUCCCUGCACGGCGGUGGUCUUCCUGCCCCGGGUCCCUCUUAAUCAUGUAGUGAUGGUCCCUCGCGGAGAAGCCGCCGCAGGGGCUUGUCCCGACGUGGCAUUCGACAGUGUCGAACAAGUGGCCGGUCGAGCUCGGGGCUGCGGUGGGGAGUGUGGGGCGUUACAGACACCUGGUGAGCGUGAGUGUGGGUGCGCUCAGUGGUGCUGUGUGGCGUGCAAACUUCACCGUCAGGGAUUAUCUACCAUCACUGCACAAACCACUGCCCGCUGCCCGCUGCCCUCAGCACUCCGUUUAAAUUAACUCCCCUCACCUUAACUCUAGGCCAACUUCGCCGAGAUAUUUUCGCCGCCACUGGACGCCUUUUCCUAGCGCGGCAGAGCAACUCCAGCGGAACACCCGUGCAGGAAGUGGGGAUCUGUUGUACGACCUCCAUGGUAUUGUCGGUCGGCAGGGAAGGAUCAACGCGCCAAGCUGCCGCUGAUGUAACCACGCACGUGUUGGUCCCGGGGCCGAAACCCCUGCCCAGUAUGUGAGGCACCAAACAUCCGCCAUGACACGCCAAGCAGCGGCUCCAAGAGGGAGACGCGGGCCACGCACUCCGUCUCGUCUCUCGAGGACUGUGUAUUCUGCCUCCCCGUCUCACCAUCCACCGAGAGCUGUGUCCUGAUAGAUUCAUACCUAGUAGUCCCCCACAGUGCUUUAACUUUUCUUAUCAUAAUCGUUAAUCUACACUGAACCUGAUGUCCAACAUACCUUCAACGUGCCCAUCUUCCACAAAAAAGUGACCACUCCCAUCUUUCAAACUACCUGGAGGCGGCUUGACUUCCUGCCAUUACGAAACCUUAAAGUCCAGCCUCCCUUGGAAGCGCGCCAAGCAUCCAUCAAUUCAUAACUGUCCAUUUGAUCGACAGCGAGGAUUUCGCAAUAUUACAUCAAAAUUUCUCUUAGGAGUUUCAGCAAUUUUUUCAUUUACUGCUUUACUCAUUUAAAACAUCUUGCAGAUUUUACUAUAAAUCUUUGAAUUUCAAAAUAACUUUAUAAUUUUUAUCCCUCCAUUAGAAACUACACAAUUUUCAUUCCUUUCUGUAAGAUGCAUAGCUGCUUUAACAAAGAAUCAGUCACUGGAAGUUCACACACAUUUACACUGCAGACCAGCAUGACUGUAUAGUCUGGUGCCACCGCUCAUCCUGCCACUAAUGUGUAAUCUUACUUAACUUUGGUGUCCUAUGCACUGUACAUAUUCCAAAUCGAGUAACUAACACCUUGCAAUUUGCCAGCGCUAUAAUCAGACGAUAAUCUCAACAGGAAUUGCAUCACUCGAAAGGACGCCGCACAAUGCCUUACCUCUGAUCUUUCAAUAAUCUCUAAAAAGAAUGGUAAGACUCUGGCAGACUGAAAUGCCUUGAGCUAAAUUCCUUCAUUAAUGACAACUUGCAACCAUAAAAACAACUUUUUCCUCU